AUGGCGACGUCCGGUGGUGUUAACGGUUCCUUAACGUCAACAUUGCUGGAUUUCAGGUGUUUAAUGCAUGAAGAAUCAGUCAAAUUUGAAAAAAGAGUAACAGCCCUUAAGAAUGUCCGAUGGGGAAAGUUCACUUCAUAUGUCAAAGUGUGGCUUGAUGUAUGCGCCAGAGAUCAAGAAAUCACGGUGACCGAACGAACCGAUUGCGAGGGACUACGCACGAUCUGUACAGAGGCUAUGGCAAAGCACGUAGAUUGGUUUUCAUGAGACAUGUUACCGGAGUUUUAGACGCCUGAAUGCUGCUCGAAAACGAAAGUUACACGAAGAUUAUUCCUCUGAAGCUUCAUCUUAUUCCCCUAAAAACUCUGGGCAAGAUCAAGAUUUUCCUCUGGAAGAUCUUCGAGACUCUCAUGACUCUAGCAUGUCUGGCAAGUGGCAUUCUGGUGUGUUGCCUGUAUGUUUACUUGAAUGCAUCAUGGAGGAAAGUUGAGCUGGUCGUCACUCGACAUGGGAAUUAUGUGUCAAAGAUAGGCUACUGCAGGCAGAGAUUUCUGAUAAAGGAAUGCGUCGUCUAGCAGCAGAGAGCAAAAGAGACGAGAAUGUUUUGAUACACAUUUGAGUCAAAGAUUGUCUCGCUCUGGAGGUUCGAUAUUACACCUGUGGUUACAAACCAAAUACUUAGUUCCUGACAAAGCAAGGAUCCUGAAGGGAGUGAACUUCAGAUGGAGCACCAAGAGGGCUACAAGAUGUUCAACAGAGAUAGUGAUUGAUGGCCAGGAAAUCAUGAGUAUGUCGAAGAUUGAUCAACUGUUCGUGACAGUGAUUAAGAGGCAUGACGGGACCUUCAAUCGCACCGAAGUGACAAGCUGAAGUACUGGCUUAUAUCCUGAGCUCUGCUUCCACAAGCCUUUAUGAACAAACAAGCGUGAGAUUAUCAACUCCUCCACAUUGUCAUCAAGAAGUGUGGCCGUAUCUCUGGAAACUUCAGAGAAUGAUUCAUGAACCGAUACGUCUGAGUUGGAAACUGGUACGGAUGCUCACACCUCUUCAUACGCUGUUACAUGUCAGGAUAACACUGUACUUGAUGAUUUUGGUGGAUAGUAAUGAAAUAAUGCUCCAGGGUUCCAAUUCGCAGCCCUCUUCAGUGUUGUAUUUUCAAGGAAGCACAAAACAUCAAGAUUUCGUAGCUCCCCUGUUCUUUAGAGUUGUCUCCUUCACCUUUGCAUCAUGCCAUGUUAUUUAAAAAAAAAAUAGCAUUACAUCUAAAUCAAAUGUGCUGUUUUCUUAAUUAAUUGAAUACAGUGAGAUUAACCGUUUGGGGAAUUUUUUUUCUAAAUGCCUUGUUUCAUAAUCGUACAGCCCGUGUCACAUAAUUACACUAAGUCUGAAUUAUAGUCAUUUGAUUUGGGAUUGGAAGCCACGUUGAACACAAAAUAAUUGGCUCUAAAAAAGUGGGCCCCUAAAUCAUAAUCACAUUCUGAGUACAUUAAGUGAAGUUCCGUACAUGUAUUUCCCCUGCUGUCUGCAAUUUAUUACAUUUUCAUUUCCAGUUUUAGAUAUCAUAGCCCCCGGUAUCUGUACUGUGCAAAACUAAUUAACUCCCCUUUUGCACUUUAUUUUUUUAUUCUAAAAAGCCAGAUCAUGAAGAGACCCGAAGAGUAGUGGUGGUGUCUACCAGAUCAAAACUCUUUUAAGAAAGAGCUAAUAAAGUCUUUCUGUGGUGUCACCUGACAAAAAUCCUGUGCAGUCUUUUCUUAAUUUGUCAUAUAUAUUCAUAAUAUAAAUUAAAAUUUAUAAUAUUGAAGGUUUGACAGAAUCGUAGUUCUCUAAUUCUAAAGUUAGAAUUGCCCAAACAAAGCCUUAGAAGUGCAUACAUGUACAUGCAUUGUGCAUUAUAGCAUACAAGACUAUGGCAAACAUUGAGAUGGAAUUACUAAAAAAUUGGAGAAUUUUUGCGAGAACUUUUGGCAUAACAUUUGGGAUGUACAGAACCUCGCAUUUAUGUAUUCAAAAAGUAUUCCCAGCGUUGCUUGAACGGAACUCGCUUUUACAGCCUGUUUCUUAGUCUCAGCUGACGGCCUAUGAAAGAGCCAGGGUCGGAUAGAAUCUGCCCUACUCUGAUAUCGCCGCAGUGCAUUUUUUUACGUGCUGAGCCUUCAGGAGGUUUUGUAGAAAUCGGACAUGUACCUACAGUUCUCGCGCAGCGUCCGUUUUUCCCGAUGUAGUUUAUUCAAAAUCGUAAACCUUUCCCCCGGGCUGGCGCGCGUGACCGUGAAAUUCAGUCGAUAAUACCAAACUUCACAUAUACUGACAAUAAGUAUCUAAUUACACGUACAUGCAACCUGAAUUUUCACAUACACGGGCAUGGGAAAACCAUGUUCCGCUGUGUCUACGUAUAUUUUUUCGUCGGAGUUCAUGAAGAUAUUUUCUUUUCUUGGUAUCUCGCUUGACUCCUACAAGCACACGGAAGUAACAAAGGAACCCCCCCCAAAUAGUCUCUGACUUUUCAUUUUCUUCAUAUUUUCCCUUUUUAAUUUAUUUCUUAUCUAAAGCAUUUUGAUAUUACUGGAGUUGGAAAGUGUUUCACCUUUGCCUUUAAUCUACUUUGAUGAUUAUAAAGAAACUGAAGCAAUCACAAGAAUAAUUCAAACCGUAUAAAAGUAAUGAUGCAAAUUAAUUUGAUUUCCGAAUAAGUUCAAUUAACAACAGGUUAGACAAAGGUUUUCUCGACAAGGUCUUCAAAUAUGUCCACCAACCUUUGCAAUUGAAUGUUAAAUGGCUAACUUGGU
rnacentral:lncRNA from 1 species